UUCGUUGUUCUUAUUCAGUCCUUGGCUUGCAAGUCUGGAUCUCCUUCCGAUCUUGGAGAUUUUAAUAUGCUCCGAGCCUCCGAGCCACUCGCGCUUUGGUCUUCGCUCGAGCAGUAUGCUCUGACGUUUGAUGUCGUAGCUACCCACUUGGCGUUGCAAGAUGAGGUGAUCCAGGCCUAGGGGAUCCUUCUCCGGCCAUGCUCCCUCCAGGAGCCUCAACUGUGCUCUGAAAGAGAUCACAG
rnacentral:lncRNA from 1 species